rnacentral:sRNA from 1 species
AUUUAGCCCCGGGUGAAGCGGCAUCCUUUUUAUUGAGCGCUUUGCAAAAAGCGCUCAAUAAAAAGAUACAGCGGAAAACGGGAAGACUU